CACGCUGAUUGGGCGAAGCGUACCGACGGGCGCUCUCCUCCUUCCUGACGCCUCCACCCCGCAGAGCUCCGCCCGAGUCCACCCGUUGAGCCUUCGCUGCAGCCGGGUCUCCAGCGCAGAAGCUAAACCUGAAGCAGGACGGCGCCUGCGGGGGAGAAGGAGCAUUUAUCUCGCGGACCCGGAAACAGACCGAGACACUCUUACGAAUCGCGUUCCCCACAAGAGAAGGCACUACCCUUAAACAGCUCAGAAAUAUGUAAUUUCAUGUAGUCACCUCUUAACGACAAUCACUGUCUCAUCCCGCUGCAUGGCUGCAUAACCAAGAGAGGAGUGCCCCUGGGUUCUACUCCCGUGAAGCCAAGUCAUGUCCAGCAUCCAUGCUCUAAGACCAAGCAAUCAGCAGGACCUACCUACCUUGGUUACUGCAUGACUUCUGUCUUUGCUGGAAGACAAUCUAAGGGCCAGGGAGGGGCCAUCUGGACAGAAGUGUUGCUAAUGAAAGCCAAGAUACAGCAGAAGAAAGAGACAACUCUUCAGAAACCUGCCGGACUCCCUCCUGUGAUGGACAAGACAUCUGUUUGUUCCAUCUUGUACAUUUGGCAAUGCUGGGCCUGGGAGCUAUUUUUUGUGACAGCUUUAGAUGGAAUGCUGUUUCCAUGCUCACAAAGGGUGUCUUUUCAACUCCAAAUGUAAACAUUUAGCUCCAAGAAAGAAAGAAAUACUAACUUGCCUCAGCAAGUAAUUACAUGUGUUUCUCUAAGGGAUCCACUUGUUUGGGGCCACUUGAUGUAACUGAUGAUGACCAAAAGCAGCCUCCCCAACCUGCCAAGGCCUUGGACUUCAUGAUGUUGAAGCACCAAUGGCUUCACAUCUACUAGAGCCUCACUGCUUCAGAACCAAAUGAUGACUUCCAGCCCUGCCCUAUUCAUCUGCCAUCCCAGCCUGGGCUAACAGAUAACUGGAUUGUCAUCAGCCACAGAAAACUGGGCUUUCUAGCUCCCUGCCCUUAAGCAAAAUCACGUGAUUGAAUCCAGCCAAUGGAAUGCAAGCAGAGGUGAGGCCAUCAACAGCCCUCCAUUCC
ensembl:lncRNA